rnacentral:lncRNA from 1 species
UUCUAACCAAAUUCCAUAACAUUUUUAAAUGAAACUAAAAAAUUCAAACUCACACGUUCUCCAAAUCGAAAUGAAACAUCAAACAUGGGAAUGUGUGCAUGCCAUAUGUAACUGAAAAGCAAUGCUAGACUGUUAGCAGGGGAAAAAGGAACACUCUAAAAGAAGAACUGCUUCAUCUUCUAAGUUAUUACCAAAAUCCAAGAAACUUAUUAACAACUGAU